ACAAGCACGGCCCCGGCAGACUCAGGACCACACAGUCCCUGGAGUGUUUAAAUGGCUGGUACAAAUGCCCCCAAGACCAAGCAAAGCAAAAUAUUUAUUAACAGGAUGUACAGAGAGAUGGAGUGGGUUGGAGUAAAGUGUGGAUCUUCCUAUUUUGAAUGCAGUUGGUGGAUUUAACACCAGGUGGCAUUUCCUGACCAUCUGCUGUGAAAUUGUACCAUCAGCACCACCCGUAAUGACUAUAACUUAGAUCUCAAAAUAACAAGUCUGAGGGCAGAGGUUUUGUGAUUUUUAAAGUUACAUUUCCCCACCCCCAUCCCUGUGCUCCUCACCCUGUAAGGGCAGGAGAAAGCUCCCUGGCGGUGGCCCAGCCUUGGCAGCCAGCAGAUGCCAGAUACAGUGGUGCUAAUUGUCCUUGAACUGGGAACAAACGCGCAUUCACGGCGCUGUAAAUUAUUGCCAGCAGGUCUCCCGAUGCCCCUACACCUGUUUCAGAUCUGUCACACAAGGCCAUCAUAUUUUUCCUUUUAAAGAGGCAGAUUAUUUGCUGAUCACGUAACUGGAGACGUCCAAGCAGGACUCUGCAAGAACCCCCUGUAAUUCGGUGACAGCCACUCCUCGGGGCAGAGCAAAGGGUGACACUACUUGAGAAGUGCUGGUGCUAGAUCAGGGCAGGGAAGGAACAUAUAAGCCAAGCGACAUCCACGGCUGCUCCCAGAGAAUGGACUUCACACUCAGAAGAAAAGACGUCUGGGUUGUAGGUAGCGUGUGCCUUCUCUCGUCUUCAGUUCUCUGGCGCUUGAUCCGGUUCGUGAUGACCCGGGGAGGCCAUUGGCAGGCUCCUGCUCUUGAGGACGUGCAGAAACCACCAACUCUGCCUCUUGCUGGUGUUCAGAAGUCGGAGAGGAGUUGGGCUUUCCCCAUGGCCUGAGCCUUCCCAGGGAAGCUUUCCACAGCAAAUAUUUCUGGAGCAUCAAGUUCAUAUUAAGAGGAAUUACCCAGUCUUGGAAUGGCUUGUCAAUCAUCUGAUCUGUCUUAGUUGAGGACAAAGUGAAAGAGAUGGAAGAAAGGAAGAUUUUUUUUUUUUUUUAAA